rnacentral:rRNA from 1 species
AGCGGCGGAUGGGUGAGUAACACGUGGGGAACCUGCCCCUAAGUCUGGGAUACCAUUUGGAAACAGGUGCUAAUACCGGAUAAUAAAGCAGAUCGCAUGAUCAGCUUUUGAAAGGCGGCGUAAGCUGUCGCUAAGGGAUGGCCCCGCGGUGCAUUAGCUAGUUGGUAAGGUAACGGCUUACCAAGGCGACGAUGCAUAGCCGAGUUGAGAGACUGAUCGGCCACAUUGGGACUGAGACACGGCCCAAACUCCUACGGGAGGCAGCAGUAGGGAAUCUUCCACAAUGGACGCAAGUCUGAUGGAGCAACGCCGCGUGAGUGAAGAAGGUUUUCGGAUCGUAAAGCUCUGUUGUUGGUGAAGAAGGAUAGAGGUAGUAACUGGCCUUUAUUUGACGGUAAUCAACCAGAAAGUCACGGCUAACUACGUGCCAGCAGCCGCGGUAAUACGUAGGUGGCAAGCGUUGUCCGGAUUUAUUGGGCGUAAAGCGAGCGCAGGCGGAAAAAUAAGUCUAAUGUGAAAGCCCUCGGCUUAACCGAGGAACUGCAUCGGAAACUGUUUUUCUUGAGUGCAGAAGAGGAGAGUGGAACUCCAUGUGUAGCGGUGGAAUGCGUAGAUAUAUGGAAGAACACCAGUGGCGAAGGCGGCUCUCUGGUCUGCAACCGACGCUGAGGCUCGAAAGCAUGGGUAGCGAACAGGAUUAGAUACCCUGGUAGUCCAUGCCGUAAACGAUGAGUGCUAAGUGU